AGCAGUGUUGCCUAGUGGAUAGAGCACGGGCCUGGGAGAUAGAGGGACCAGGAAGUCCCAGGGACCUGGGUUCUAAUCCCAGCUCUGCCA
rnacentral:tRNA from 1 species